AUACGUAGGUGACAAGCGUUAUCCGGAUUUACUGGGCGUAAAGGGCGUGUAGGCGGUCUUGCAAGUCAGAAGUGAAAUUCCUGAGCUCAACUCGGGCGCUGCUUCUGAAACUGCAGGACUUGAGUGCUGGAGGGGAUAGCGGAAUUCCUAGUGGAGCGGUAAAAUGCGCAGAUAUUAGGAAGAACACCGGGGGCGAAGGCGGCUAUCUGGACAGGAACUGACGCUGAGGCGCGAAAGCGUGGGGAGCAAACAGGAUUAGAUCCCCUGGUAGUCCACGCCGUAAACGAUGAAUACUAGGUGUGGGGGGACUGACCCCUUCCGUGCCGCAGUUAACACAAUAAGUAAUCCACCUGGGGAGUUCGGCCGCAAGGUUGAAACUCAAAGGAAUUGACGGGG
rnacentral:rRNA from 1 species